rnacentral:lncRNA from 1 species
CCCCCCCCCCCCCCCCCCCCCCCCCCCCCCCCCCCCCCCCCCCCCCCCCCCCCCCCCCCCCCCCCCCCCCCCCCCCCCCCCCCCCGGGCAGCGCCGCCGCCGCCGUGUCCCGGCCCAGGCAGCCGCGCUGGGCGGCUCGGGGGGACCUGCGGGGCCGGGGCCGGGGCCGAGGUGCCGCCUCUGCAGCCGCCCGCGGAGAGGGUCCGUCAGCGACCGGGGCAUUUCGUACCUUCCUACCGAGGUAGCGAUCGAGGCCGAGAGAGGGCCUGUUACUGUUUGUGAUGUUCAUCCUGCCAAAAUCCAGUUUGAGGUGUUGAACACUCCCUAUCCAGAGCAAUCUGGUUUUGUUGCCACCUGUUUUAUUGGAAAGAACAUCAUGCUGCAGGAAUCCAGUUCCCAGCGAGUCUGGAAGUCAACAGGAACCCAAGAGCUGAGCUUGGCCUCCCUUUUGGCAAGAAAAGCACCACCUGGUGAACCACUUUGA